rnacentral:rRNA from 1 species
AUGAAGUCCAAGAAGGACUGGCUAGUGCUGCCGGCUGGCGUCAAGUUCGAUCCCACGGAUCAGGAGCUAAUCGAGCACCUUGAGACCAAAGUGAAUGUUGACAGCGUGAAAUCUCACACUCUCAUCGAUUUGUUCAUACCAACCAUCGAUAGCGAGCAUGGCAUAUGCUACACCCAUCCUGAGAAACUUCCAGGUAUCACACUGAGUGGCCUAAGCAAGCAUUUAUUCCAACGCAAUUCCAGGGCGUUCAAAAGGGGCACGUGGACGCGUCGCAAGAUACAGUUGGAGUGUGGCAUGCACGCGAUGUGGCACAAGACCAGCAAUACCUUGUCGGUGGUGGUCAACGGCCGGCAGACGGGCAACAAAAAGGUUCUGCUGCACACCAACAAGAACUUCGACCAGCAGAGGACCAACUAG